CCCUCAGAUGUUCUGGGCCGCACGCGCGCUACACUGAUGCAUUCAACGAGUCUAAAACCUGGUCUGAGAGGGCUGGGUAAUCUUUUGAAAGUGCAUCGUGAUUGGGAUAGAUGAUUGCAAUUCUUCAUCUUCAACGAGGAAUGCCUAGUAAACGCAAGUCAUCAGCUUGCAUUGAUUACGUCCCUGCCCUUUGUACACACCGCCCGUCGCUCCUACCGAUUGAACGAUCCGAUGAAAACUGUGGAUUGAGAGUCUGAGUGGGUUCGCCUACCUCAACUUUCGAGAAGCGGUUUAAAUCUUAUCGUUUAGAGGAAGGAGAAGUCGUAACA
rnacentral:rRNA from 1 species